rnacentral:rRNA from 1 species
GAUGAACGCUGGCGGCGUGCCUAACACAUGCAAGUCGAGCGCGUCUGAUUUGAUGCUUGCAUUAAUGAAAGAUGAGCGGCGGACGGGUGAGUAACGCGUGGGUAACCUGCCCUAUACACAUGGAUAACAUACUGAAAAGUUUACUAAUACAUGAUAAUAUAUAUUUACGGCAUCGUAGAUAUAUCAAAGUGUUAGCGGUUUAGAAUGGACCCGGGUCUGAUUAGCUAGUUGGUGAGAAAACUGCCCCCCAAGGCAACUAUCAGUAGCCGACCUGAGAGGUUGAUCGGCCCCAUUGGAACUGAGACACUGUCCAAAGCCCUCGGGAUGCAGCUGUGGGUUGUAGUGUGCUUUGGGGGCAAGCCGUUUGGUGGCAUUGGCGCGUGACGAUUAAUGUCUUUUGGAUGUUAUGUUUUUGCAGUAAUGAAAGGUGAUGGUGUGCCUUGGAUGAGCCCCGGUUGUUUACGUGGCACUGUGCGUUAUUAUGAUGUGGGUGUGGCUUUUCCGAAUUUGCUGUGGCGGUGUGGGGUGGUGGGGGUGGUGCUUUGUGAUGUGGUGUGGUGUUGGUGUUGGUGUGUAGACUGUUGGUUAUGUUGCCCUGUAUUGUGAUGACAUUGUGGUGUGUGUGGAGAAGUGUGUGUGUGCCUGUUGCUGUGCUUGUUGUUGUGUUGGUGUUGUGGUGUGAAGUGUGUGUGGUGUUUGGUUUUGUGUUUGUGAUUGUGUGUUGUCGCUAGCAUGCAGCUGAAAGAAUGUGGUCUGUGUGUUGAUGUAUACUGUUAUAUGAUAUGAGCGAUGUGGUCACCUUGCUGUUACUGAUGUGUUCUGGACCCGCGACGCCCCUCGCUGUGUGCCUGCAUGAUACAUGUCUUAUAUAUUAAAUUGUCUUGUGGUGUUAGUGUGUGUGUGCGAGUGGGAUCGUGCGCCUUCAGUGAUGUGAUACUGUGAUGU